CCAUGACUGAGGCCAAUGUGAAUCUGAAGGCCUAGCCCCUCGCCGAUGCCCACCUCACCAAGAAACCACUGGAGUUCAUUCAGUAGUCGUGUAACUACAAGCAGCUUCAGAAAAGAGCCAACGAGGCCACCAAAACCCUUAACAGGGGCAUCUCUGAGUUCAUCGUGAUGGCUGCAGACACCGAGCCACAGGAGAUCAUUCCGCACCUCCACUGCUGUGUGAAGACAAGAACGUGCCCUUCAUAUUUGUGCGCUCCAAGCAGGCCCUGGGAAGAGCCUGUGGGGUCUCCAGGCCUGUCAUCACCUGUUCUGUCACCAUCAAAGAAGGCUCACAGCUGAAACAGCAGAUCCAAUCCAUUCAGCAGUCCAUCAAAAGGCUCUUAGUC
rnacentral:lncRNA from 1 species